UGCCCCUUAGCUCAGUCGGUAGAGCAACGGACUGUUAAUCCGUGUGUCGUCAGUUCGAGCCUGACAGGGGCAGCCA
rnacentral:tRNA from 1 species